rnacentral:rRNA from 1 species
GACAGAGGGUGCAAACGUUGUUCGGAAUCACUGGGCUUAAAGCGCGUGUAGGCGGGGUGGCACGUCGGUCGCUGAAAGCCCCCGGCUCACCCGGGGAAGGGGCGCCGAUACGACCACCCUGGAGGGACGUAGGGGGACCUGGAACUUCCGGUGGAGCGGUGAAAUGCGUAGAGAUCGGGAGGAACACCAGUGGCGAAGGCGGCUACCUGGACCAGCACUGACACUGAGGCACGAAAGCGUGGGGAGCAAACAGG